GCGAGGAGUAGUUUCUUAUUUUACACUCGCGAGUCACACCGAAACCUCUGCCAGCUGCUGCUUUUGUCAUCUUGCACUUCCUGCCUUCAUCUCCCAUGAUGUUAUGCAGGAGAUGGCAAUCUUUACAUGAGAAGAAAUCAUUAGAAUGCUCUUCCUGUGGCCACUGCUAUGUUCUCUAUUCUUUAAACAAGAGCUCUUGAAGUGUGUCAGUGAAGCUGGGGAACAGAUGUCCCCUGGGAUUCCUCCGCUGCCUCUCCCCUGAGCCGCCAGCAACACAAGCAAGUUUGAGGGAGGUAGUUGUUGAAUUCCACGAGAUGGACCAGAAUUCCACGAGAUGGACCAGAAUUCCAUGAGAUGGACCAGAAUUCCAUGAGAUGGACCAGAAUUCCACGAGAUGGACCAGAAUUCCAUGAGAUGGACCAGAAUUCCACGAGAUGGACCAGAAUUCCACGAGAUGGACCAGAAUUCCAUGAGAUGGACCAGAAUUCCAUGAGAUGGACCAGAAUUCCACGAGAUGGACCAGAAUUCCACGAGAUGGACCAGAAUUCCACGAGAUAGCCCCUUUUGAAAGCCCUCGGUCGAGGUAGAAUACAAAGGUGCAUUUUAGAAAUGUGGUUGUACACUGAUAGUUAAUUAGCCCAUCAACUAACUUUUUAAAAUGUAUUGCUAAUUUAGUUUAGCGGCCAGCUAUCUAAACUUGUUAUCAUGGUCGAAUUACUGUCUGGGGGGCCAGUCAGUUUCACUCAGAUAUAUUAAAAACUGGAAACAUUUCUCUCCACCCUAAGGCAAAAUGUGUCAAAUUGCAGGAAAUCGUCUGUAAAACAGUUAAUUUUCCUCUCCGUCCCAUGGUAAAUUAGUAGAAUUGCAUGAAAUUAGUUAUAAAAUUGCUAAAUAUUCUCUGCACCCCAUGGCAAAACUCUACACCCCUCCAACAAAGAUGCCCAUCCCUGAGAUAGACAAAAAAUAGUAUGUUUAGGGAUAAUGUGCACAGUAAAAUGUAAUCACAAUCAGAAAUGUAAAAAUAAACAAUGGCAUCUGAAUGUUAUUUACAAUUCAGG